rnacentral:rRNA from 1 species
AUAGCUACUUGCAUCAUUKUGAUAUGAUGUAAGAUCGWCUAUGUUGAAUAAAAUUCUAGGUAGAAUUAUGAUAAUGACAUUGUCUGCCUAUGUGUCUUGAMCAAAUUACGUGCCAGCAGUCGCGSUAAUACGUAGAAGACUAGUGUUAUUCAUGUUUAAUCGGUUUAAAGGGUACCUAGACGGUAGAUCAAGCUUUCUAAUAAAUGAAAAGGACUAAUUUACUAGAGUUACUUAUGAGGGGGUAUUAAAGUACUGCUGGUGUAGAGAUGAAAUUCUGUCAUACCUCUUUUCAAAAGAAAAACCAUGGCACAGGUAUAGGCGAAGGCAUCCCCUUAUGUGAUAACUGACGUUGAGGGACGAAGGCUUUGUGUAGCGAACAGGAUUAGAUACCCCAGUAGUCGAAGCAGAAAAUGAUGAAUGUCAUAGAUUAGAUGUAUAAGUUUAUUCUAUAAAUGAAAGUGUAAGCAUUCCACCUCAUGAGUAAUUUGGCAACAUUGGAACUGAAAUCAUUAGACCGUUUCUGAAACCAGUAGUGAAGUAUGUUGUUUAAUUUGAUGAUCCGCAAAAAACCUUACCACAAUUUGAAUAUUUAUAUUUUUUUUAUUGUUUUUUUCUUAAGAGAUAAAUAAUUAAAGAAAAAAAUCAAAAAAGGAAGAAAAUUAAGAAAGAGGCAAUAAGAUAUAUUUACAAGCGUUGCACGGCUGUCUUCAGUUAAUGUCGCGAGACUUUGGUUAGUUCCAUUAAAUUAACGUAAACCCUUACUUUAUUUUUAUAUAGAGUAGUUCCCCGCUAUAUGGAUAUGAUAACAGG